rnacentral:sRNA from 1 species
AAAAAAAAUUAGGUCUUUUAGAAUCACUGCUCUGAUACCAUGUGAUAAGAGAGUGAAUUGUCUUAUUAUGAUGAAUGUGUUACAACAUAUAUAGUACUUAGUCUAGGGUAUACACAACUACUAAUGACAAUUAUAUCCUUAAUAUAUACAACUCCUUAUAAAAUCUACUAAAAGAUUCCUUUUUUGUUUCUUCUUCUUCACCAAUUCUUCAGUUGAAGAAAGAGCUUAAAGAUGUACAGUAUCAGAGGAAGAAGAAGAGA